UACGUAGGUGGCAAGCGUUGUCCGGAAUUAUUGGGCGUAAAGAGCUCGUAGGCGGUCUGUCGCGUCUGGUGUGAAAAAUCAGGGCUUAACCCUGGACCUGCAUCGGGUACGGGCAGGCUAGAGUUCGGUAGGGGAGACUGGAAUUCCUGGUGUAGCGGUGAAAUGCGCAGAUAUCAGGAGGAACACCGGUGGCGAAGGCGGGUCUCUGGGCCGAUACUGACGCUGAGGAGCGAAAGCGUGGGGAGCGAACAGG
rnacentral:rRNA from 1 species